GUUGGGUAGGGGAGCGUUCUGUAAGCCUGUGAAGGUGGCCUGUGAGGGUUGCUGGAGGUAUCAGAAGUGCGAAUGCUGACAUAAGUAACGAUAAAGCGGGUGAAAAGCCCGCUCGCCGGAAGACCAAGGGUUCCUGUCCAACGUUAAUCGGGGCAGGGUGAGUCGACCCCUAAGGCGAGGCCGAAAGGCGUAGUCGAUGGGAAACGGGUUAAUAUUCCCGUACUUGGUGUUACUGCGAAGGGGGGACGGAGAAGGCUAUGUUGGCCGGGCGACGGUUGUCCCGGUUUAAGCGUGUAGGUGUGUGUUCCAGGUAAAUCCGGUUCACUUUAACACUGAGGCGUGAUGACGAGGCACUACGGUGCUGAAGCAACAAAUGCCCUGCUUCCAGGAAAAGCCUCUAAGCAUCAGGUAACAUCAAAUCGUACCCCAAACCGACACAGGUGGUCAGGUAGAGAAUACCAAGGCGCUUGAGAGAACUCGGGUGAAGGAACUAGGCAAAAUGGUGCCGUAACUUCGGGAGAAGGCACGCUGACACGUAGGUGAAGUGAUUUACUCAUGGAGCUGAAGUCAGUCGAAGAUACCAGCUGGCUGCAACUGUUUAUUAAAAACACAGCACUGUGCAAACACGAAAGUGGACGUAUACGGUGUGACGCCUGCCCGGUGCCGGAAGGUUAAUUGAUGGGGUCAGCGCAAGCGAAGCUCCUGAUCGAAGCCCCGGUAAACGGCGGCCGUAACUAUAACGGUCCUAAGGUAGCGAAAUUCCUUGUCGGGUAAGUUCCGACCUGCACGAAUGGCGUAAUGAUGGCCAGGCUGUCUCCACCCGAGACUCAGUGAAAUUGAACUCGCUGUGAAGAUGCAGUGUACCCGCGGCAAGACGGAAAGACCCCGUGAACCUUUACUAUAGCUUGACACUGAACAUUGAGCCUUGAUGUGUAGGAUAGGUGGGAGGCUUUGAAGUGUGGACGCCAGUCUGCAUGGAGCCGACCUUGAAAUACCACCCUUUAAUGUUUGAUGUUCUAACGUGGACCCGUAAUCCGGGUUGCGGACAGUGUCUGGUGGGUAGUUUGACUGGGGCGGUCUCCUCCUAAAGAGUAACGGAGGAGCACGAAGGUUGGCUAAUCCUGGUCGGACAUCAGGAGGUUAGUGCAAUGGCAUAAGCCAGCUUGACUGCGAGCGUGACGGCGCGAGCAGGUGCGAAAGCAGGUCAUAGUGAUCCGGUGGUUCUGAAUGGAAGGGCCAUCGCUCAACGGAUAAAAGGUACUCCGGGGAUAACAGGCUGAUACCGCCCAAGAGUUCAUAUCGACGGCGGUGUUUGGCACCUCGAUGUCGGCUCAUCACAUCCUGGGGCUGAAGUAGGUCCCAAGGGUAUGGCUGUUCGCCAUUUAAAGUGGUACGCGAGCUGGGUUUAGAACGUCGUGAGACAGUUCGGUCCCUAUCUGCCGUGGGCGCUGGAGAACUGAGGGGGGCUGCUCCUAGUACGAGAGGACCGGAGUGGACGCAUCACUGGUGUUCGGGUUGUCAUGCCAAUGGCACUGCCCGGUAGCUAAAUGCGGAAGAGAUAAGUGCUGAAAGCAUCUAAGCACGAAACUUGCCCCGAGAUGAGUUCUCCCUGAGACUUAGAGUCUCCUGAAGGAACGUUGAAGACGACGACGUUGAUAGGCCGGGUGUGUAAGCGCAGCGAUGCGUUGAGCUAACCGGUACUAAUGAACCGUG
rnacentral:rRNA from 1 species